rnacentral:tRNA from 1 species
UAGGCAGAAGUCCGCUGGUUUGGACGCUUAGCUGUUAACUAAGAGUUUGUGGGAUCGAGGCCCUCCUGCCUAG